rnacentral:lncRNA from 1 species
GAAAGCCUCUGUCCCCACUGUCUUCCGAGAGCUGUGGUUUGACCAGGCAGCCCCCUAUGCCUCUUCCAGACUCAGGCUUCUCUCUGCUUCUGCAGUUUCUCCAGGACUCUUCAUGUUCUCCCUCAUUGACAAAGGGCAGUGGAUUUCUGGAAAUCUAUUUUCAGUAGACUUCAGUAACUCAAUUUUACCUAUCCACACUGUGUGGUAUAGUAUCAUCAUGUAAAAAUCAGAAGCAUCAAAAAUCAGACAAACCUAGACUCACUCCUCAAUUCUUUUACCAGGUGAAUGAAAAAGUGAUUAUUUUAUAAAAGGAAUGCUAGUUAGCAUUCCUGGGAGAAGUGAGUCUCUAUGGCUUGCCCUUUUGAAACUGGUUUCCAAACAAAAUGCAUACUCAUGAAUAUUUAUUGAUCAUAAAAGUUUGGCAGAUUAGAGCAGAAGAAGGGUAGCAUGAGGAGUACCAACUCUUAAACCUGAGGACUCAUGUCUGCACUACACCUUAUACAACAGUGUCUGUGAAAUGGUUAAAGAGUAAAAACCCAAUCUGUUGCAGCCAGAAAGGAGUACUCCACCUAUUACACAGCAAGGCCAAUAGAUUGCUUGUUAUUUUAAGUGUUAUUUAAAUUAUCUCCCUAGGGAAGAUAAUUUUCAGCUGCCUCUCCAUCUUCUUAAAGAAGAGCAGAAUUUAACACAUCUCGUCUUUGUGAAAAACAAAGACACUGAAGCAAUGGUCAGAAAGAAAAGGAAUAAAGACAAAGUCAAGGAAAGAGCCAUACAAGGACAGUUAGCAUAAGAUAGUUGUUCUCAAUGUAGGCUAUCCAGAACAGCACUGUCAACCUCACCGCGGAACUUGAAAGAAGUGCAAAUCCUUGAGACUGACUCCAAGUCUACUGAAUCAGAAAUUCUGGGGGUGAAGUCCAUCAAUCUUUGGUUGAACAAAACACAACCAAUCUCACAUUUAUGGAAGUUUCAUAUAUGAAGUCAUAAAAGUCACUAGAAAGGCAAGAAGAACCAGGGAGCUGACAUGUUCCUAGAUCCAGGAGCCACCCAGUGGAUUGACGAUUCUUAUCAUAAUAAGACUUCCUUGAACCAUCCCCCACCCAACCCUUUUCCAGAAAGAGUUGAAGACAAAUCUACAGUGAAUAGGAGGCUGAGGCCACCACACCACAGCUUCCAGUGCAAGUGUCCUUGUGCCCUGGUGCCUGAUAUCCAGCUCCGGCAGCCUAGAAAAUCAGUUAGGCUUUUCAGUCACAGCACCCUCUGUGACAAACGUGUGGAGCACCGCACGACUUCUUCAACCAGCUGGUUUUUCUGGCAUUCGAAUAAAAGUAAAAAUAGAAAACAAAGAGGGAGAAGAAAAGUGACAAGCUGAAACCUGCGAAGAGAAAGAGGACAAGAAAUGAACAAGUUGAUCUGGUCUUGAGGGAGGAGGAGGCACAGGAACACAGUAAAGGAACCUAUCUGAGGAGCUGCAGACAUGAACCAACAAAGGUCAAACCCCACCUGGAAAAUGAAUUGUGUCCAAAUGAGACCCCUUUAAUGACAGGAUUUGAAACAAUCUCAUUAUGAAACAAUUGCAGUCAAUGGGAAUCCUGAGUCUUCAAGGAAGUAAAAAGAAAAAAAAAUCUCUGUUAUCCUCACAUAUUUAAAGAUUCUCAUAUAAAAGCUUCUCCGAAGAGAACAGCUUGUCCUGUUUAGCUUCAAAGAAGAGAAUGAGGAGGAAGGUCGAGGGAAAAUUACAGAAAAGCAGACUUUGACUUGACACGUGGAAGGACUUCUCACUAAUGCUAUUCCCAAAUACAAUGAGUUGUUUCCGUGAUUGGAGGACUUGAAGAUGUAUAAGUUAUCCACAGGGAUGUUGCAGAGGAAAUUUGACCAUCAUAUGGGUGAAUUAACUGAUAUCUAUGAUCUUUAUUUCUCCUGAGAGUCCAUAAAAGGUAGUGUAAAACCAGCCCAAAUAGUGGUUUACAAGUGCACUGGGUAUGUUAUGUAAGAUUUCUGCUUUCCUGAUGAGGCCCCAAAGCUGAGAGCAAUGAAUGAUACAACAAACACAGCAUCCCCACAGAAUUUUCUAAGAGGUAGACAAAAUUGGCUCUGCAACCUUUAGCCUAUGGUCCACCACUGCCCUAUGUAAGGAAAGGUAAGAAAUUCAAGAGAGAUUAAUCAGAGAGGGAAGGCAAAUGGAAUGAAAUUAGUAGAAAUAAGGAGUACUGUGGCAUUUCUCUUCCCUUUGUAUAAUGAAAGAGAGGAGAAUGUAUCUUCUCCCAAAUUCCAAGCUAAGUGAGAGAGGGCAGAAAACCACCUUCUGAGAAAGAAACUGACGAUCCGUCACAGGGAAGAGAUAUCGACCUCCUUACUUAACAUUUUUGAGCUUGAUUAGAGGAUGAUGCAUUAGAUGCCAUUAUAGGACAAAUGUUUUAUGCAGUGAGAUAAUUGUUUGGAAAUUUGACGUAUACCUCUUGGAAUCUGAGGAGCAUGAAGAUCAGUGUAUGACUCUUGCCUGAAAUCAAGGAGAAAGGAAAACCCUGUCAAUGGCACAAAUUUCCAAAGUUUGGGAUGACAAGGACAUCCAGAAGAGCCUGAAGCAAUACUGCAAGUGGGUGCUUUGGUACUGCUUUGAAGCAUCUUUCCAGACUCUGCAGUAGCCAAGGCCUGUGACUCCAGUCCCUGAGAAAGUACCAUCAGGAGCAAUACGAGUCCUGUCCAUCUCUGAAAACAUGCUGCUGAUGUUGGAUUAAUAGUUAGACAAACAACUAAGAAGAUCAGAAGUAACAUGCUACUUUG